rnacentral:lncRNA from 1 species
GAAUCUGAUUCACCAACUAAUGACACAGAUCUGCAGGUUAUUUUCCCAAGAAGAUGUGGAGAAUAACACAACCCGGGGAUCCUUGAGGCCAAACCCUGACAUAUGUGAGGCAUUUGGGGUGAAGAGAUGAGCAAGGUUACUCUUAUUUCCAGAGCUGGCUUCUCUCAGGUAAACCUUGUUCUUUAGGACUUUUCAUUUAGUUAAAUCAACAUCUAUUGAGCCCUUGCCAGGGGCUGUGGCACUGUGGGAAAUUGAGAGAUGAUAAUGACUGACGUGGGGCUCCUGGGUGGCACCCAGACUUUAAGUGACUGCCUUCAGCUUGGGUCAUGAUCCCAGGGUCCUGGGAUCAAGCCCCACAUCAGGCCCCCAGCUCAGCAGGAAGCCUGCUUCUCCCUUUCCCACUCCCCCUGCUUGUGUUCCCUCUUUCACUCUCUCUCAGUGUCAAAUAAAUAAAAUCUUUUAGAAAGAAAGAAAGAAAGAAAGAAAGGAAGAAAGAAAGAAAGAAAGAAAGAAAAUGACUGACCCUACAGGAAAGCCAACAGGAUUAAAACAUAAUGGGAAUCCCCAGAUAAAAACCUUUAUCAUGCUAUAGAGAUAAAACUGAGUGCAAAGAGCUUAUCAAACACCUCCUAGGAGCAAGGGGGCUGUGCCACAUGCUGGAGUCUAGAAAUGAGGGCCGCUGUGAUCCUCCAAAAACUUGUUCUGCAGAAGUAAGUACCCUACGAGGGCAAGGCCUGGGCACCAAGUGGGUUAAUUACACAUCCCUUCUCUUUUCACCCCUCAUAAGGCCCGGAAGAUCCCUGAGGGUUCACAGAAGGAACGUGGUGGAGCCUGGGCCAGGGGCAUGCCCCACAAGCGGACAUGCCAUGUUUCCAGGUGUUCGGAGAAUGGGAGUCAUCCCCGUGAUCAUGUGGAUGAAUAUAGGAAGUAAUCAAAAGCACCUUAAAAAAAAGUCAUCCUUUCUUCUGAAGUGUUGUCUUUGGAAGCUAUCCAAAAUGGGUAAAAUUACAGAGGGGGAACAGAGGCCUUUCUGUUCAUCAGAUUCCAGAAUGCAGUCAUUUUAAAGGACAUUCACAUAUAUGAUCUCAUUCAACCUUGCAUAAUUGUGAGGAAAAUACUGGCACUCCCAUUUAGCAGAUGACAGAG